UCAGGAUGAACGCUAGCGGCAGGCUUAACACAUGCAAGUCGAGGGGCAACGCGAGUAGCAAUACUUGGCGGCGACCGGCGCAAGGGUGCGUAACGCGUGAGCAACAUGCCCGUAUCAGGGGGAUAAUCCAGGGAAACUUGGUCUAAUACCCCAUAGUAAUUUUGUAAGGCAUCUUAUAAGAUUUAAAGCUUUGGUGGAUACGGAUUGGCUCGCGUGACAUUAGCUGGAUGGUAAGGUAACGGCUUACCAUGGCUAUGAUGUCUAGGGGUUCUGAGAGGAAGGUCCCCCACACUGGAACUGAGACACGGUCCAGACUCCUACGGGAGGCAGCAGUGAGGAAUAUUGGACAAUGGAUGGAAAUCUGAUCCAGCCAUGCCGCGUGAAAAGGAAGAAGGUCCUAUGGAUUGUAAACUUCUUUUGUAUGGGAGCAAUAAGGCCUACGUGUAGGUUGAUGAGAGUACCAUACGAAUAAGCACCGGCUAACUCCGUGCCAGCCGCCGC
rnacentral:rRNA from 1 species